UACGAAGGGGGCUAGCGUUGCUCGGAUUGACUGGGCGUAAAGGGCGCGUAGGCGGUUCGUACAGUCAGACGUGAAAUCCUGGGCUCAACCUGGGGCUGCGUUUGAUACGUGUGAUCUAGAGUGAGGAAGAGGGUCGUGGAAUUCCAGUGUAGAGGUGAAAUUCGUAGAUAUUGGGAAGAACACCGGUGGCGAAGGCGGCGACCUGGUCCUUGACUGACGCUGAGGCGCGAAAGCGUGGGGAGCAAACAGG
rnacentral:rRNA from 1 species